rnacentral:lncRNA from 1 species
GGACCGGGAACAUAAUUAAACCUUACUAAUAUCAUCAAAAGAAUGAAGUGAAAUUUACACAAACUAGUAAUAAAAAAAAUGUUCUCAAUUCGUCUUCCAUAUACAUUGGAAUCUCUAAUUAAACAUAUUGAUCUUAUAAGCUUUAUCCCUUUAAUGAAAGGGUAGUAUAAAACUCUGCCAAAAAGAAAACCAAAAUUAAGAUCAAUUCACCCCCCGUAAUACCAUAUGAUCAGUCGCAUGUUAAAUCAUGUACGGAACUCCCCGUCAAAUUAAGUUUCAUGAAGCAAGUCAUCUCAGGGUGCCUUCUUCUCUUCAUUAUGUUCAUAAUAUUCAAUUUCCCACUCAAUUUCACAUGGCUGCUCAGCUCUAAAAUCCCAGAACUUAUAUUACCGCUUAAUCUCGUGGUAUUCGGUACCCGAACCGAGCUCACAUCAAACGAAACAUUCAACCUCUCGGUUUUCCUAGCUUGAGCUCUCCCGGUAGGUAUCUUGAACUCUCCAACGACUACCAAACCACACGAAACACUCCCGGUCGUGUUGUCGAACCGGAAGUCUCCAAAAUUGGUGUUCUCAACAGCGAUCUGCGUUAUAAGUGUGAAGUUGAAGGACGGAGACGUCGAGUUAGUUACGUACUUGAGAUUUCUAACCUGGACCGAUCGGAACUUGAAACCAGGUGUUCUAGGACGUAAAAGGAUACUUCCGAAUGUCAAAAGAAUGGUUCCUAGGACGACCGUGAUGGUGAGAACGUAAACGAGACAUUUACUGCUUUUUUCUUCUCGGCGUAAAGAUUUGGGUUUAAUUCCCCCGAACUCCAUGUCGCUUCUUGGAUAAUCUUGAACAGGUGCAAGUGGCUUGGCCUGGGGAUCUUCUUGUUGUUGCAUAUUGUUUUUCUAGAAGAAAAAAUAGGGGUGAGAAUAUUUAGGAUUUCUUUAAAAAAAAAUCAAGAAUGGAAGAUAUAGGCUUGGAUUUUUGCUUUUUGUAAGUUUUGGUACGAGUUAUAAGCAUGGGGACAAUGUAUUUAUAUAUGAAAUCCAGGUUUAGGGUUUCUCGAACGACCCGCGUUGAAUGAGCAUUCAAGUGUAUUGAGUAUUUACCUUUUUACUUAGUGGGUCAGAAUUAACGCCGGCCGACAAAAUUCUUCUGCCCCUAAUGUGUCUCACCUAUAGUUGUAUAACACGUGUUCCACUUAACCUCGUUAAACCCCAUUUCCGUUAAUUAUUUUUGCGGAGAAUAGCACUAUUUUUUUAUAGAAUGAUUUAAGUUUUGGUUAAAAUGUGCCAGUUUUUUAAGAUUGACUUUUUUUUUCAUGAAAUUUAGAGUUAAAAUGUUUUUUUUAAUUCAAGCUAAUUACAAUACUUUUAAUUAUAUAGUCAUAAAUUGAAUUUUUUAUUUUAAAAAUGUGACAUUAAUAAAUUUAAUAAAAAAAUCAAUAGGUUAACAUUUAUAUUGAAAUUUGAAGUCUGGAAAGUAUUUAUGAAAUAGAAGUAUAAAAAUUAAUUUCCUAAUUUUCAAAAAGUACGAGGACUUAUGAUAUAUUUUAACUUUCAUUUUUUUUUACAAAUAGCAUUCAUAAAAAACAAUAAAUAUUUGUUUGAAAAGUUUCUUCAAGAAUGUUUGAAUCAGAUUGAACCGUGUUAGAGUUGUGAGACUCAAAUUCUAAGAGAUUACUUGUAAGUUAAGUUAAACAAAAUUUAUUUUUUUAGAAGAUUUAGUAUUUAUUAGUAUAAUAUAUUUAGCAUUUAUUAGCAUAGUUUAUUUGACUUACUAAUUUAACCUAUAAAUAGGUUUUUUUACAAUUUUAGAAAAUACGCCUAUUAGAGAUUAGAACUCAUAACACAUUUAGAGAAUUUUGUGUUUACGUUUUGAGGGUUCUUUUUUUCGGAUUUUUUGGGGUUUAGUUUUUUAUCUCCAUUUUUUGUACUUUUCGUUCUUUUGCCAUUAUAGUAAAAUUGUCUUUACCCGUGAUUUUUUUUAUCCUCUUUGGAGGAAUUUUUCCAUGUUAAAUUUGUGUGUUCAAUUUCUCAAUUUAUUUCGCUAUUUUUUUGUUACUUGUUGCUUAAUUGGGUCAAUCCUAACAGACCUUCUGGUCAGACCGAUUGAAUUGAAAAUCAAUAGGAUAUUAGUUCACAGAGUAGCUUUGAAUGAGUUAGUUUGGAAAUCAAUACGAACUAGUUAAAUCAACUAAAAAUUCGAUUGGAUCAGGAUAUUUGAACUAAACUAAAGCGGUCGAUUAGAUUAGUUAGAUCAAAAACCAACCAAUAUAACAUUUUAGAAAAUAACUUUAAACUGAUUCGACCAAAAAUCGGUACAAAUUAAUUAAAUCAACUAAAAAAACCUGAAUAUGGGAUAAAUUUCUUCCGCCCCACGUGGUCCCCUCUGCUGAUGCCCCACUCAUAAUUUUUACAUACGAUUACUAUUUAACCCUAUAUUACAAGCAUUCCUUUAGUUCCAUUUUCACGGUUAUAUGCUGCGAACUCCUCCUAAGGUGACGGAGGCAAAGGGCUUGACCUGCUCUCGCUCAGCCAUUGCCUAGGAUUUAGAAUCUGUGACUUCGAUGCUUGGCAAUGGCAACUAGCAUGUAUAUAAAUACUUGGGAAAUGGGGUUAGAUUCUUAUACAUGGUCUACAGCAUUUGUGAGGAAAAUAAGCAUGAUUGAGAUUGCUGAAACGCGUUAGCAAGCUUCUAAGGUCUCGAGUCUAGACUACUGUAGUGUUUAAGAAAUUCUAACCUGAAUAGCGCAUCAAAUACGAUGACCUUUGUUUUUCUUCUUCCUUGAAACAAUAUAUGGAAUAAAAUCAGUCAAUUUAAGAAAUUCCUUUGAGUAAAAAAUUAGGAAAUUUCCUCCUCCUCCUUCUUCUUCAUUUUUUUAAAAAAAUAUCUCUUUUUAUUUCAUAUUAGUUGUUUUGUCUUCCAAGAUUAACCAUAUGCAUGACAUGGGUUCAAAGAAUAUAAUCCAUUGAAUUUUGUGUCCAAGGGUUUUGGGGUAAUAGGAAAGGAGCGAUACUUAAUAAUUUAUAUUGUAUAUAUAUAUGGAUAUUUAUAAAAUUAACUAUCAUUUUAGAUGUGAAUGAAACACCAUAGCAAGGUUCUCUAUUGAAUAAAUUGAUAAAUUAGUUUCUUUACAUUAAAUUAGUAUUUAUACAUAAGGUAUAAUAAUAAAUUUAGCCUUCAACCUUUACACAUUUAUUCAAUUUGACUCAUAUUUUUUUAUUGGAUGUAAAUUAUAAAUUUUUGUAACUAAAAUGGCUAAAGGGUCAAAAAAAGCCUUAGUAACAAAUUUAAAAAAAAUCAAUUAAACCCUUUUAAAUUUAUGAAAAUAUCAUAAUAAUUAUAACAAAAAUUCAUAAAAAAUUUAAAAUUAUAAUCUUCUAUUGAAAAAUAACAAUACUGAUCCAACAAAAAAAAUAGGAUCAAUUUUUUUUAUUUUACCUUCUUUACAGAAUAAACUCUAAAAUAGUGUUGGCUAAAAUAUUGGUUAGACAAGAAAAGGAAAACAAAAUCACAAUCUAAAAAAUAUGGUGCGACCUUUCAAAUGUUAAGGAAAAGGAAUUGGUGGGUCUAAAGUCUAAACACACUGACUUAACAUUAUAGAAGAAGCUAAGUCUAUGGAAUUUUCUUUAUAUCCCAACUCAUGGGGCACCAAGGAAUUAUGUAUUCUUAGCUUGAAAAAGGGGCAACAACGACCCCAAAUGGGCCGUUGCUAAGUUCGCCGAAGUUUCGUGUGUAUACCUAGUCUAAAGAGACCAUAAAGCAAAAUAUAAAGCCCUUUGAGAGAAACUUCUUAUAUUACAACCGGGUAAAUUAUUAAAAUAGUCAUUUUUAUUUAACUCAGAUUACAUUUUAGUUAUUUAUGUUUGAAAUAUUAUGUUUUAGUCACUUACGUUAAUGUGUUGUAACAUUUUAGGCAUUGAGAGCCGUUAAUUUCCGUUAAUGGUGUAACGGUAAACUUAUGUGACACGUUAAAUCAUCAUUUUAAACAAAAAUUUUAGGUUAAAUUAUACAAUUGGUCCCCACAUAUUUUUUGUUUUGAGCAAUUUAAUUUUUUUUCUUUUAUGUUCUUUUAACUUUCCUUUUUUUUUUACUUUAUUUUUCAUUCUCUUUUGCUUCUUCCUUUGUUUUCCUUCGUUCUCCAUCUCUUUUAAUAUAGUUUUUCUAUAUUUUCCAUUUGUUAAAACUAAAGGGGGAAGAAGAAAAGGAAAAGAAAAAAAAUUAAAUUGUUCAAAAAACUAAAAGUGUAGGGACUAAUUUUAACAAAUGGAAAACAUAGAAAAACUAAAUUAAAAGAGAGGGAGAAAAGAAGAGAAUGGAAAAACAAAGGGAGAAAAGAAGAGAAUGGAAAAAAACGUUAAAAGAACAUAAAAGAAAAAAAAAUUAAAUUGCUCUAAACGAAAAAAAUAUGGGGACCGAUUGUAUAAUUUAACCUAAAAUUUUUGUUUGAAAUGAUGAUUUAACGUGCCACAUCGUAAUUAACAGUUCAGUGAAUAAAAUGCUACAACACAUUAAUGUAAGUGACAAAAACGUAACAUUUCAAACAUAAAUGACUAAAAUGUAACUUGAGGUAAACAAAAGUGACUAUUUGGUAGUUUACCCAAUACAACUUCUAUCUCAAAGUUUACUCCCGUUAUUGCAAAGUUACAUUCAAAUCUUAUUUUAUUCAUUUUAUCCAAACAAUAAUAGGGAUGAGAAAUAUAAAUAAUAGGAUUUGAACUUAUGUUAUUUAGGUGUGUAACGAGAUCUCUAUUUUUUUUUUAAAAAUAUGAAGAUUAUUUCUUAUCAAGAUUUGUACGUGCCUCUUCAAAUAACUGUCAUAUUAAAAAUUUAUAGGUAACUACAUCCAAAUAUCUAUGUUUUAAUCACUUCAAAAAGUUAUAAAUAAUUAAUUAAAACAUUAACUUACUAUUAUUUUAAAAACUAUACUGAAAAUUUAAACCCAACUUUUCUCUCUAAAUCCACACUUCUCUCCCUAAGUCCAAAAAGGCCAAAAAUCAACUAUCUACAACGAAACACAAGAAGCCGCUAUAUAUCAAGGAUUAACACUGUUGGAAGAUAGUUUGAGCAACUUAAGUUGCACGGCAAAUAAAUUGGCCACUAUUUGCACGCCAACAAGGCUAGUUGAACUCACACAAUAAGCACAUACUACAACAGAAAUUGACCUUAUCUUUGUUAUCUUGUCUGUUUUGGCUUUUUCUCUCGGUUUAGUCUAAAUUAAUUGUAACUUUAUAAAUAUAAAAGUUUUACUUUCCCUUUUUUGAAGAAAAAUAUUAUUCAAACAGAAUUCAGUGAAUAAUAUUUAGAUAAUUUAAACAAAAAUAAAUUAUAUUCUCAUCGAGAGAAUAUGUACUACACAAUUGGCCGAUUUAUGAGCAAAACGAAAAAAAACACACACACACACACAAACUAAUCACACAACAUUCGAGUUUCCUCAAUAAUUUGAUCAUAAAUGGAUAAAUCUAAAUUACUGUUGUUGAGUUUAUUAACAAUAAUUAAACAAUCCAACUCUUGUAUCAAAAGAUGAAGUUAACAUAUACACGUUUAAGCUUAGCUCACUUCCCACAACUUGUCUUGAAUCAAUUAAAACCACAAACAAACUUCAAUUUGGGAUUUAAUUAUUUCCAACAUGAUAUACAAUUUGACAUCAAGUUAUGAGAAUUUAAUGCUGAAAGCAGCCUAAAUGGAAGAAGAAGCAGGUAAGUGUUCACAAAAUAAUAGAAAAAAAUGGGGUCGUGGGGCUCAACUCGUUUCAUUCAACAGCGACGGGCGGGGCUAAGGGCUGUGGCCCAAGCAUUUACUUUCAAAGUCAUUGACCGAUGAAGUUAUAGCAAGUUGACUGACUUCUUAAGACACAAGGACUCACACGCCUUGCCGUCUCUGGCCAAUAUGUGAAACCAGAAUCAGUAAUUAACACUGUUAAUUAAAUUACUAAUAGGUCUAUAUCUGUAUCUAGUCCCUGUACUUUUUGGACUUUUCAAAUUUAGUCUCUUUGAUGAAUAUGUGUUCAAUUAGACUUUAAUUUUUAGAUCAAACCUUUGAAAAAAUUUAUAGGAAACCUAUUAACAGACUUAGCAAUUGAACUUCAAUUUUCAAAAAUAGACAAGUAGAGGGACUAAAUUUCAAGAAAGGAAACUGUAGAGACUGAAUUUCAAAAAAAUUGAAAAGUAUAGGGACCGGGAACAUAAUUAAACCUUACUAAUAUCAUCAAAAGAAUGAAGUGAAAUUUACACAAACUAGUAAUAAAAAAAAUGUUCUCAAUUCGUCUUCCAUAUACAUUGGAAUCUCUAAUUAAACAUAUUGAUCUUAUAAGCUUUAUCCCUUUAAUGAAAGGGUAGUAUAAAACUCUGCCAAAAAGAAAACCAAAAUUAAGAUCAAUUCACCCCCCGUAAUACCAUAUGAUCAGUCGCAUGUUAAAUCAUGUACGGAACUCCCCGUCAAAUUAAGUUUCAUGAAGCAAGUCAUCUCAGGGUGCCUUCUUCUCUUCAUUAUGUUCAUAAUAUUCAAUUUCCCACUCAAUUUCACAUGGCUGCUCAGCUCUAAAAUCCCAGAACUUAUAUUACCGCUUAAUCUCGUGGUAUUCGGUACCCGAACCGAGCUCACAUCAAACGAAACAUUCAACCUCUCGGUUUUCCUAGCUUGAGCUCUCCCGGUAGGUAUCUUGAACUCUCCAACGACUACCAAACCACACGAAACACUCCCGGUCGUGUUGUCGAACCGGAAGUCUCCAAAAUUGGUGUUCUCAACAGCGAUCUGCGUUAUAAGUGUGAAGUUGAAGGACGGAGACGUCGAGUUAGUUACGUACUUGAGAUUUCUAACCUGGACCGAUCGGAACUUGAAACCAGGUGUUCUAGGACGUAAAAGGAUACUUCCGAAUGUCAAAAGAAUGGUUCCUAGGACGACCGUGAUGGUGAGAACGUAAACGAGACAUUUACUGCUUUUUUCUUCUCGGCGUAAAGAUUUGGGUUUAAUUCCCCCGAACUCCAUGUCGCUUCUUGGAUAAUCUUGAACAGGUGCAAGUGGCUUGGCCUGGGGAUCUUCUUGUUGUUGCAUAUUGUUUUUCUAGAAGAAAAAAUAGGGGUGAGAAUAUUUAGGAUUUCUUUAAAAAAAAAUCAAGAAUGGAAGAUAUAGGCUUGGAUUUUUGCUUUUUGUAAGUUUUGGUACGAGUUAUAAGCAUGGGGACAAUGUAUUUAUAUAUGAAAUCCAGGUUUAGGGUUUCUCGAACGACCCGCGUUGAAUGAGCAUUCAAGUGUAUUGAGUAUUUACCUUUUUACUUAGUGGGUCAGAAUUAACGCCGGCCGACAAAAUUCUUCUGCCCCUAAUGUGUCUCACCUAUAGUUGUAUAACACGUGUUCCACUUAACCUCGUU